rnacentral:rRNA from 1 species
UCCUCAUGGCCCUUACAGGCUGGGCUACACACGUGCUACAAUGGCAUCUACAGUGGGCAGCUAUUCCGCAAGGAUGCGCUAAUCUCCAAAAGAUGUCUCAGUUCGGAUUUGUCCUCUGCAACUCGAGGGCAUGAAGGCGGAAUCGCUAGUAAUCGCGGAUCAGCAUGCCGCGGUGAAUACGUUCCCAGGCCUU